rnacentral:lncRNA from 1 species
ACAUGAGUGAUGAGGAGUGGCUGCAAAUACAGAUGAAGCUUCGUUUGCUCACUUCCUGUUGUGUGGCCCAGACAGGGCACUGUCUGUGGCCCCAGGGGUUGAGGACCCCUGGCUUUAACAACAGAAAGGUACCAUCUUACAGUUCUGGAGGCCAAAGUCUGAUAUCCAGACCCCAGUUACUGGAUUGGGAUCCACCCUCACUCAAUAUGGCCUCAGCUUAAUGAAAGACAUCUGCAGAGACCCUAUUUCUACUAAAAGCCACAUUCUGAGACUUCUCGUGGGCGUGAGUUUUUGAGAGACACUGUUCUGCUCCAUGCAGGGAGGGAAUUGGGAUCUGAAGACGUUGCAUUCGAGGUCUCGGGGCUCCUGAUGAGCAGCCUCGGCCUGACCUGGGGCAGGUGUGAUGUCUGCGGCUCACCAUCUCCACCCUGCCUGCUGUGGAAUCUCCACAACGACAGGUGCUUUGGAGGCCAGAGUGCAUGCGUACGGGCCCUGCACACGCUGAAUGUCACUGGGAACAAGGACACACCCCGCUUCCAGGAGAAGAUAGAACAUGUCGACCCCUUUUACCAUAUGACACAUUAUCAGACCAAACCAGAGCUCUUGGUUUUCGGAUCUGGGGAUGAAUUCUUUAGCACAGAUGGAACCAUGAACUUCUAUGAUCAACUGCCAGGAAGGAAAUACCUCAGAGCCAUCCCCAGUGCAGGACAUGCUAUUGACUUCCAUGAGACAAACACCUACUUGGAAAUCAGGUUUUUUCUGUACCUUUUGAAGGAGCAGGAAUUUCCCAGCAUUUCCUGGACAAAGACGGAGGCCACAUUCGCUGCAUCCUUUCCAGCAAGAUGUCAUUCUGAGAUUUUUGUCAUUCCUGGGCGUUAUGAGGACUGCCAAGGGACACAAUUCCAUGGGAGGAAAGUUUUCUUCUAAGCUGCAAGCCAGCUCUGGCUUCUGGAGUUUCUCCUUAGGAUUGCAAGACAGUAGUUCCCUGUCCUUUAGGUCUUCUCCAGAAAUACCUUAAAAUAGCAAAUAAAAUAAGAUAUAAGCAAACAAAACCUGAAGUUAA